rnacentral:lncRNA from 1 species
GGAAUGUAAAUGGUAUCCCCUUUACAAGGGGAUAGGGUUGUUUUAGUCUCGUGUCCCAAACCACCGGGACGCAUGCUUUUAAGUUGUGAACUCACCUUGGGUUGCUCGGUAGAUAUUUUUACCCGGUCAAGUUUGUUGGUCACCACGUCCUAACAUGGUUACCAAAUAUGGGUCAAGUCGGGUACAAGUAAACACAUAGCGAACACGUAUGGAAAUACAUAUAGCAAUUACGUAUAACAUGCGAAUACACAAACAGUUGGGGUAUUGGGCCUAAACAGUAACAGUUACACAAGCAGUCCAUUUAACAGAUAAUCCAACAAGUUCUUUGGCCCAAUAACAGCCCAGUCGAGACAAAGGUGACUCGCAACCGAGGUUGCGACUCGCAACCGAGGUCUCGGUUCGUCACGUUUUGGUUACGAGCCGCAACCAGAGAUUACGACUCGCAACCAGCAGUUCCGACUCGCAACCGGACUCGAUACGCGUUGAUUACGACUCGCAAUCGGGAGGUCUCGACAAAUCCUGCUGUGGUCUCGAGUAGCAACCAAAGGUUGCGACUCGCAACCGUGAUUACGUGCACAUGAAGACCUUCUAGAACCUGUGCAGUGUACUAUCCAAUGAUAUUGCAUUUUCAUGUAAAUUGUGUACUAUGCCACUAAAACAUGUCUGUUUGUCUAUUUUGUGUCUAAAACAGAUCAAAAUCACAUAUUUUGAAUAUUCUUAUAACCUUCAUACAUGUUCUUCAUAUAUUCAAACAAUAUUCAUACAUUCAAACAUGUAAACAUCAACAAUAUUUAACCAACAAUCAUAAUAAAACCGGAUAACACGACUAUUAAGACACACAAUCAUCAUGCAAGUAUUAUUUUGUAACAAGUAAUCAUCAAGUAAUCACUUUCAUCAAUAUACCUCCCAAAAUCAUGCAUAAAUCCCCUAUUACCAUUCGGAUGACACACCAUUUUGCAAUUUAACACAAAUCGGACAACACUAAAUAACCAACAAAUCAUGCAACCAUUUUAAGGCAACUUAUCAACAUUAAGCAACAAAUACUUAGUGAACAACAUAACACUAACCGAUUCUAGUGAGACACAAAGGUGUUCAAGUUGAUGCAAGGAUGAAGCCUUCGAUUGGUGAUCCCGAGCCAAAUCCGAGGAUGUUCUUGAUGUUGGUUGAAUCCGAGAAGAAGGAGGAAAGGAGAGGACCUUUCAUUUAAUAGGACCAACGGUAAAAGCGUUUCAUGUAAAGGGGUCGUAAUAAGUCCCGGAACUAAAAAAGCGUCCUAACAUCUCAAAUAAGAUUAUGAAACCAAUUUUAUGGUCGCGUAAUAUGUCUUUGAACAACCAAAAUAGUGUCCUAAUAAAAACAUAUUAGGACACUUUUACGAUGUUCUAACAUGUGCUUAUAUACUUUAAAUUUUUUGAUACACUUAUAAGCGUCCUUAGAAAUUAAUUGAUAGAACCCUUAUGAUGUAACAUUAUAGCUAAUUUAGUACCAAGAAAAAGGUCCUAAUAUAACAAAUAAGAUUAUGAAACCAAUUUAUGGUCGCAUAAUGUGUCUAUAGACAACUUAAAUAGCGUCCUAAAAAGAACAUAUUAGGACACUUUUACAAUGUUCUAAUAUGUGAUUAUCUACUUUUAAUCUUUUGAUACACAUACAAUCACCCUUAAAAAUUAAUUUAUAGGACCCUUAUGAUGUAACGUUAUAGCUACUUUAAUAUCAAGAAAAUGGUCCUAAUAUCUCAAAUAAGAUUAUAAAACCAAUUUUAUAAACAGACCAUCAACAUAUAACAUCCUAAUAGUUAUUGUAUAACAUCAACUAAUGAAAGAAAUAAAACUUCAUUAUAUUUCAAAUAAGCAUGUUCAUAACAAAAACACUAACCAUAAAUAAGUGAUAACAUUAUCUACCAUAAAGUCUUAACAUU